GCCUGUUUACUGUUUCAUGGAUCAUUCCUAUACUCAAGGGCAAGGUAAACUUGCCACUUUCUGUAUCUUCACCCCAUCAUCAUCACCACCAUCACCGCCUCAUAUACCCCCACUUAUUUUUAAUAGUAAACUAGCGGCACAUCUAGUAACUAUCACCAUCUUUCUGCCUUUAUUAUUUCAUGAAUCACUCCUAUAGUUAAAGUUAGUGUAAGCUAUUGCCACUUCCGCACCUUCACCCCAUUAUUAUUAUUACCACCACCACCACCACACUUGCGUUCCUUAAUGUUAAGUGUGUGUUUAUGCUUUUAUUUGACUAUUUCCAUCAUUUACUGGAUUGAGUCAAGAUUUUUUUGUCCCCCUUUUUUUUUUAUUCUGAACAAAUUCUUUCUUUUCUAGUUUAUGUAUAUUGUCUCUCGUAAUGUAUUCCAGUGAUAUAUUGCUCUCGGUAAACUUUGAGAGAGAGAGAGAGAGAGAGAGAGAGAGAGAGAGAGAGACCGUGGACUGGUAGCAGAGAAAGAGGGGAGAAUGCGUCUUCUUAUACACGUAAAUAAAGAGCCAUUCAUCACCCUCUCCCUCUCACUCCUACUGCAUACAGAUUAUAAGGCUGCCGGUGACUAGUUAUCAGAGCUCGCUUCUCAUGCCUCUUGGUUAUCAGAUCGCAGAAUAUUUAGUCGUGGCUCGGCCUUCACGCCUACUGGAGGUAUGUUUUAGUCAGCCGCCCGAUGCAAGGCUGGCACUGACAACCUAUACAUUACAAAGGUAAGUAACGUUAUCAUGAUUGCUCAUUACUGCCACGUCUUCAGAUGGAUUUUCUUCAGCAUGGCAACACACACACCAACACACACACCAGUAUAAAUUAGAGUGGUUGGGAGCAGGUGGUGUGGGUGAGAACAUGAAAUCACACAUUGCAUAUUAAUGUGGAUUAGUGGAAGGGGGGCAGGAGGAAGCGAGGACACCGAGGACAGGGGAUAUCUCAAGGUGCCUGCUUUUUCCCUCUCAGGGUUGACUUAACUAUUGUUGAUCAGUAAGUAAUGCAUUGCUUCUACUCUUAUUUGUAUAACUGCUGCUCCUGCUAUUACAAUUAUUACCGGGACAAAUACCACCACCACUGCUAUUGCUACUAAUAUUACCAUCAUUAUUACUCCUACUACCUCUACCACUGCUAUUGCUGCUAAAACCACCGCCACCACUACUGGUAAUAAUAAUAAUACCAUCAUCACUACUGCUGUCCACUGCUACUGAUACCAUUACCAUCACAGUUCUACCAUUACCACAACCGCUACAAACACAAUCACCAUUACUCCUGCUACUGCCACAAUUACUGAGGUGACAGGUACUGGCAAGGGCAUAGUGUAAUGUAUAUUCCCCAGCAUGCUGCCGAGAUACACGACAGUUAAGGCUGAUAGUUGUGUCCUUUGCAAGUUUUAUCAUUAAAGUGCAGUUUUCUUCCUGGUUUCAUUGUUCAUGCAAUUCAUAUUCUUAAAGUUGAGUGGACUUGUUAAUAAUGAUAGUACAUGCAGGUAUCUUUAGAUCUCAUUAAAAUUAUUGACAUCUUUUAUGCACUUUUUUUUUUUCAUGCUUCUAAUUUGGUUCUCAAGUUAAGUUUCUGCCAUAGGGUUUUCCCCAACAUAAUUGUAUCUUUAUAUCUAAUCAAAAUUGUUGACAUCUCUUAUCCGUGUCUUUUAUUUAUUUUAUUUAUUUUUUUUUUCUUCUUUUUGAGCUACCAUGCCUCUGAUUUAGUUUAAGUUUCUGCAGUAGGGUUUUUUCCCAGCAUGAGUACACUUAGAUGUAUAAAUUUAGCAUAGGAGGAAAAGGAAGACCCCUGGGCAUAAAUGUAUACACUAGAUACUCCACAGAAGUUCAAAGAAGCACAAGUUUAAUCACCAGAAUUAACCAAGUGUCUGAGCCACCACUGAACUAAAUCACAACUUCUCGAUUAUUCCUGCCUUGGCACCCACCACGAGGCACCCGCGUCCCCUCCAUGAGCUCAUCUUGGCACACACGCACAGCACACUCGGCAGCGGCUGUAUAUUUGUGCAGCAGACCACAGCCACUUAGCAUGACAGAGUCAAGUGAAGGCUGCACCUUGGCUUGACGUGACGUGUGCUAUGCUACCCAAGGAAUGUCCUGCGUGCUGAGCCGUCAGUCUGCGUGUGGCAUCUCAUUAUCUAUUUUUAAGCUUCAACACUUUAGCAUCUGAAAUUAAUGUGUUCUUGGAAAACUGGAUCUUCAGUGAUGUUACAAGCAGCAUCUUUAUUGCAGGGCACAGAUGUUUUAGUGUCACUGUUAUCACUAGUUACUCCUUUUAGACGAUGAUGUAAUGGUUGAUUUUCGCAAUGUCCAAACUCUAUAAUAAAGGUGCUUUUUAUAUCAUCACUGAUUAUUCUCUUCCUAUUUCAGCAUCUGUGACUUUUGAAAGUUUCCAUAAGUAAAAAUUGGGAAUAUGCAUUUUGCUGAAUGGUUUAAUAAAAAGUGUCAUUGACUCAGCCUGUUAAACUAUUGACAAGUCACGGUUUACUCAUUGUAAAGGACAUUGACUCAUACAGUGAAUAUGAAUAUGAACUCAUUUCUAUUUUUAUUCAUGACUAUUUUUUUUCCAUUCAAAAUUACCCUUGGAAUGAAACACAGGAAAAGAAUGGUGAAUGAGGGAUUAGUGAAUGCGUGUUAUGUUAAAAAGUAUUCACUAACAAAUUUUCCAGUAUUUUACAAUGUUGACACAAGUUCUUGGCUUGUCACCACCUUUAGUACAUCUCUUGGUAAAACACAGGGAGAGUUAGUUACACUAUGUACAUCUACCACUAAGUCCUUAUUCUGUGUUCAACCCCAAAAAUGUGUGCUUUCUUCAGACUUAACACAUUAAUACUAAGAUCUUUAUGCACACUGGCAAUAAAAUCUGUUCAACUAAUGAAACACAAUUGUCACUUUCAUAUGCAUUAGUGUUCUUAACUGUAGUGAAAUGGACCAGGUUGAUUUGAGUUAAUGUAAUGACUGUAGUUAACGAAUAAAAAUAGUGCAUGAUGAAUGGUGUAUAACUUUUCCAGUAAAAUGCUGAAGACUGGUCAGUGAUGGGAAAGAACAAGAAAACUGUCCUAAAAUUUAAUAGUUUUAUUUAAUCAAGCCACCAGGAAAGGAGGCCAGACAGUCGCCUAAGCAGCUAAAAACAACAGCAAGGAGGCGGCUCUCCCAGUUAUCGAGAAACAGUGAGAACUUGACUCAAAUUUAUCAUAAUAACAUGAUAAAAACUGCACAAAUGUUUUCAAAGUCAUUUACUUGUUAAAAUAUUCCUCUCAUAUAUAAAAUCAUCUUCAUUACUUAAAUGUAUAUCUUGUGACACCUUUGAGGCUACACUGGCUUGUCAUGACGUUCACAAUGGGUCGGCUAAGAGACUAAAGGGAAGAAAGGUCAUUCUUCUUCAACAGUGAUAUGUGAACUGUACUACAAAAUCAUGUAAACUCAAUUUCUCUUAGUACCCUAAGUUCACUUAAUUCCUGUGAUCAAAAUAGCCAUACUUCACCAGGGUUAUUUAUCACUAUGUGGGAAGGAGCUGAAAAUAGAGCAUAUGUACAGCAGAAACUUAACAGUGACGCGGUACUUUACACAUACAUGCGGCACAAUUUGUCAAUCAUCAAUCCAUAAAACUUAAAAGUGCUGGAAACGUCUGUUCUGAAAUAACUGACGCAGGGUAUUGGCAGGAGCUUUCAUACUUAGGGGAACAUUACCCAAUGCUUCACAUGAUGGGAAAGUGAGGAGAGACCAUACAUGAACAAUGUCAACAUACAUUUGAGGUCAGCAGUCAGUCUACAAUGCUGUACAUGCAUCAAGGGGCAGUGUGAAGCUUGAUUUAAAGUAAGGAGCACAGACAAUGGAGGAGAGGCAGGAGCAGAAGAAGGACUGCCUCAGGGAUGUAGGGUCAUUGGCCAGUACAAGCCCAAUGGCAGUGUGUUCAAGGCACUUUGUAUGACAGGCAUGGAAGACACAGCAGUAAAUAUACUUAUGUACAACACAGAUAUAUGUUCACAGCACAGAAGCAGCUCAAAAUUAUUAUUUGUUUUUUCCCUUUCAGUUCAGAAGUCUACUCUUGAAUUAGUCUUUUAUAAUUUCAAGCACGCAAAUAAUGCAGGAGUGUUUAUAAUUCCAAUAAAAGUUAGGCAGGACAAGAUCACAGUGAUGCCUAAGAGCUGGACUAUGGAUAGGACAGACAGACAUUACUCUCAGCUGAUAAGAGCACUGACUAGAUACAAAACACUACACAGACAGGAACUUACAUGUCAGCUUUACAAGAGGCAGUGUUUUGGGAACAGAUUCUAUUUUAAGUCCUCAAUCUGUGACCUACAUCAUCAAACAAAUUGCAUCACAAUUACAAUACAAAUAAACUUUAUUAAGUACCUCUGUCUACAUAAGGAAUCACCUCAGCCACUUCUCAAUGAUCAUCACAUGGCCGGAUCUUCUCUACUCCACAAUACUGUUUACAAAGUCAUUAGCACCAAAUUUCUAAGGAAGUUGUCAACUGAUAUCUACACAGAUUCUACUGAGUGUAUAAAACCUGAGCCCCGGCCAAGGCGAGGUGGCAGAAAGGAACCUUCUAAGAGACCACAGAGACUCCAACAAACCACCACCACCACCACUACCACCAUCACCAAGGAGUCUGUGAAAGGAGAUGGU